rnacentral:misc_RNA from 1 species
AGAGAUGUUCAGAUUGUGAAUCUUUACUGCUGUUGGUGUAUUAAUGAUCUUUAAGAGUAAUAUUUUUAAUGCUGCAUGCCAACGUCUUGCUUAAAUCGUCUGAUGUUUUUGUUUCUUUCUGCCUAUGAAAAUGACUUAUUGUUGGCAUCUGGUUACUAGGGUAUAAACGUUUGUUUAAACAUUAUAUAGAAUCAUUUAGAAUUUAAAACAACAUCUGGAUACAUAAAUGAAGUUUAAACUGUAUUGAUUGUAGAGGAGAAAUUAAUUCAGAAUACGAGAAUAUGCGAGUUGAUUAGAAAUAAAAAUGCGUAUUGUGAAAAGGAUAUUCAUUUCUAUAUCUCUGAUAGUAAUAGGUAUUUUGAUGAUGAUAACUUGCCUGCAGCAGAACUUGUUUCAAGACCUCUUCACAAGUUAUUACAGUUUUAUUAAAAUUUAUAACAUUUCGGAUACGAAUUUAGAAGAUGCAGCGUCUUGUCUUCGAACGCAAACGGACCCUGCAUUUAUCAUUUGCAUAUAUGACAUAGGACAAGAUAUUUUUAUUUCAAAUUCAUUAAAUUCAUCCGGGAUAUGGGAACCAAAAAUGACGAAACUGUUUCAAGGACAUUCUGAGACGAAACCGAAAUAUAACAGUGAUAGAUAUCGGGGCCAAUAUUGGAUACUUCAGUUUACUUUCCGCCGCGCUCGGACAUCAUGUCAUAGCCAUUGAACCGAUCAAAAGAAAUCUUAAGAUCUUUACAAAAGCGAUUAUUCUAAAUAACUUUCAAGGAAAACUCACAGUACUUGAAAAUGUCAUAUCUAAUGAACGACGCCACGUGCGCUUGAAUUUGCCAAGUGCUACUAAUCAAGGGGCAGCAAGAAUUUUGACCGACGAUGAAAUUCUUUUCAGUACGAACACCAUAGCAGCAUCCAGUACUUUGUUAGAUGACUUGGCGAAUUUCAUCCACACUAAAAAUAUCAUGAUCAAAAUUGACAUAGGUAUUACUUUUAUUUAUUUCGGACAUGAAUGCAAAUCUAUUGAAAACUCCGACGUUUUAUUUGAAACAUUCCGUGUGCUGUAUGUUAUGACCGAAUGGAGUAAAAUGACGUCAGAAAAACAUCGUUAUGGAGUCGCGUGCCGGCCAGAAAACAUUCAGAAGAUGGCGGAAACGCUAACUAUGCGGGGCUUUGUCCCAUAUGACGUAUCAAGUAAUAAACAGCUGGAUCCUAAACAUUGUUCUAAAUGGAGGCAUAAUGACAUUUUCUGGAAACAUAAAACGGUGAUAAAUUGAGUCAUGAUGACUUUAUUGUAAGCAUGAGAGAGUUGUGAAAUAUUAAUAGAUUCUAAAAUUAAGCUACCGCUCAUAGAGAAACGAAUGUGGACGACUUUGUUUAAAGAGGCACAAUUAAAGGAAGAAAGAAGCCUAAAUGCUGACUGGCCGAAUCUGUGACAUAAACAAGAAUUUAGCAAGUUGAUGGCGUCAAUAAAACUUUACAUGAAAACACAAACCAGGCGUAAGCAUAUCAACCCGAAUCAUUUAAGAUAAUGAAACUUAUACUCAUAUGAAAGCGGAUAACAUGAUAACGAACUCCGGUAAUAAAAUGGAAGCCCAUGAAUAUAACUCGUCCAUUAGAAAGCACAUUCGCAUUUAAGAUAUCAAAUUGUUUAGAUAUCGGUUACAAAAGAUUCACGAAGGAAAAUACUUUUUGCAACCUGACUGUUAUGCCAUAAAGUUUUCGGCCUAUGAAAACAUAUCACUGUUUACCUUGUGCUGACCAAGCUCAAGUGCCAUAACUUUUGUCAAUUUGUCAACAGCAGCCUUUGUUGCACAAUACACGGAAUGCCCAUCAAUACCCUGCAGAGAAGCUGCGCUUGACACAUUAACAAUAACACCGCCUUUCUUUCUAUCUACCAUAGACUGUGCAAUAACCUGAAAUAAAAUAACUCGUAUUCAG